AACAGACUGAAAAACGACAUCUUUGGGCUGAUUAUCAUCCAAGCUUCAUCGUGUGCCCAAUUAAAUGACACUGUGAACAAAAUUCCAACACCCUGACAUCAUGUAAAGUGAAACUUCAACUACAUAAAGCUGUUCUCCCUCCUUCC